rnacentral:rRNA from 1 species
UAGGGAAUAUUGGUAAUGUGCGAAAGCGCGAACCAGCAACGCCGCGUGCACGAUGAAGCCCUUCGGGGUGUAAAGCUCUUUCGGCAGGGACGAAAGUGACGGUACCUGCAGAAGCAGCUGCGGCUAACUACGUGCCAGCAGCCGCGGUAAUACGUGGGCAGCGAGCGUUGUUCGGAGUUACUGGGCGUAAAGGGUGUGUAGGCGGUUCUCUAAGUUUGGUGUGAAAUCUCCCGGCUUAACCGGGAGGGUGCGCCGAAAACUGGGGAGCUAGAGUGCGGGAAGGGAGAGUGGAAUUCCUGGUGUAGCGGUGAAAUGCGUAGAUAUCAGGAGGAACACCGGUGGUGUAGACGGCUCUCUGGACCGUAACUGACGCUGAGACACGAAAGCGUGGGUAGCAAACA